rnacentral:rRNA from 1 species
CCUACGGGUGACAGCAGUGGGGAAUAUUGCACAAUGGGGGAAACCCUGAUGCAGCGACGCCGCGUGAGUGAAGAAGUAUUUCGGUAUGUAAAGCUCUAUCAGCAGGGAAGAAAAUGACGGUACCUGACUAAGAAGCCCCGGCUAACUACGUGCCAGCAGCCGCGGUAAUACGUAGGGGGCAAGCGUUAUCCGGAUUUACUGGGUGUAAAGGGAGCGUAGACGGCAGCACAAGUCUGGAGUGAAAUGCCAGGGCUUAACCACGGAACUGCUUUGGAAACUGUGCAGCUAGAGUGCAGGAGAGGUAAGUGGAAUUCCUAGUGUAGCGGUGAAAUGCGUAGAUAUUAGGAGGAACACCAGUGGCGAAGGCGGCUUACUGGACUGUAACUGACGUUGAGGCUCGAAAGCGUGGGGAGCAAACAGGAUUAGAUACCCCAGUAGUC